GAUGAACGCUAGCUACAGGCUUAACACAUGCAAGUCGAGGGGAAACGACAUCGAAAGCUUGCUUUUGAUGGGCGUCGACCGGCGCACGGGUGAGUAACGCGUAUCCAACCUGCCCAUCACUCGGGGAUAACCUUGCGAAAGUAAGACUAAUACCCAAUGAUAUCCCUAGAAGACAUCUGAAAGAGAUUAAAGAUUUAUCGGUGAUGGAUGGGGAGGCGUCUGAUUAGCUUGUUGGUGGGGUAACGGCCCACCAAGGCGACGAUCAGUAGGGGUUCUGAGAGGAAGGUCCCCCACAUUGGAACUGAGACACGGUCCAAACUCCUACGGGAGGCAGCAGUGAGGAAUAUUGGUCAAUGGACGAGAGUCUGAACCAGCCAAGUAGCGUGCAGGAUGACGGCCCUAUGGGUUGUAAACUGCUUUUAUAAGGGAAUAAAGUGAGUCUCGUGAGACUUUUUGCAUGUACCUUAUGAAUAAGGACCGGCUAAUUCCGUGCCAGCAGCCGCCGUAA
rnacentral:rRNA from 1 species